rnacentral:rRNA from 1 species
GGGGGGACGCCAGGUUUUAGCCAUCCCAUAAAUCUGUUCUCAGUUCGGAUCGCAGUCUGCAACUCGACUGCGUGAAGCUGGAAUCGCUAGUAAUCGCGGAUCAGCAUGCCGCGGUGAAUACGUUCCCGGGCCUUGUACACACCGCCCGUCACACCACGAGAGUUUGCAACACCCGAAGUCGGUGAGGUAACCUUUAUGGAGCCAGCCGCCGAAGGUGGGGCAGAUGAUUGGGGUGAAGUCGUAACAAGAUAGCCGUAUA